rnacentral:rRNA from 1 species
GUUUUUUUAGAAAUAAAUUUAAUUUACAAGUUUUUAAUUUUUUGUUUAUUUAUUAAAAUAAAAAAAUUAUNAAUUUGAAUAUUUUAAGGGAUAAGCUUUAAAAUAAAUUAUUAAAAAUUAGUAAUUUUAAUAUAAAAUGUAUGAAUAGAAUUUUCAAUCAUUUGUAAAUUUGUUAUAAAUUAUUUUAUAAUUUUUAUUAUUUACUAUUAUUUUAAGUUUUUAUAAAAAUUUUUUCAUAAAUUUUUUAUGAAAAUUAAUAAUGAUAAAAUUAGUAUAUUUAUAUUGUACAUAUAAUUUUAUUUGAUAAGUUUAUAUAAAGAACUCGGCAAAUUUAUAUACUCGCCUGUUUANCAAAAACAUGUCUUUUUGAGUUAUUUUUAAAGUCUGACCUGCCCACUGAAUAAUUUUGAAUGGCCGCAGUAUUUUAACUGUGCAAAGGUAGCAUAAUCAUUAGUCUUUUAAUUGAAGGCUGGUAUGAAUGGUUGGACGAAGUAUAAUCUGUUUCAUAAAAAUUUAUUGUAGAAUUUUAUAUUUUAGUUAAAAAGCUAAAAUUUAAUUAAAAGACGAGAAGACCCUAUAAAUCUUUAUAUUUAAUAUAAUUUUAAUUUUUUUGAUGUAUUUUAUUUUAAUUUUAUUAAUUAUUUUGUUGGGGUGAUGUUAAAAUUUAAUGAACUUUUAAUUAUUAAAAAUCAUUAAUUUAUGAUUUAUUGAUCCGUUAAUAACGAUUAUAAGAUUAAGUUACUUUAGGGAUAACAGCGUAAUUUUUUUGGAGAGUUCUUAUCGAUAAAAAAGUUUGCGACCUCGAUGUUGGAUUAAGAUAUAUUUUUAGGUGUAGCCGCUUAAAUAUU